rnacentral:rRNA from 1 species
UACAGAGGGGGCGAGCGUUGUUCGGAAUUACUGGGCGUAAAGGGCGCGUAGGCGGCCCGCUAAGUCGCACGUGAAAUCCCCAGGCUCAACCUGGGAACUGCGUCCGAUACUGGCAGGCUUGAAUCCGGGAGAGGGAUGUGGAAUUCCAGGUGUAGCGGUGAAAUGCGUAGAUAUCUGGAGGAACACCGGUGGCGAAGGCAGCCUUCUGGGCCAACACUGACGCUCAUGCACGAAAGCGUGGGGAGCAAACAGG